rnacentral:lncRNA from 1 species
AAUCUAGCCUAUAUGAUCAUCAUGCAUACCGGGAGUAUUCAUACACAGGGAUCUGGCAUCUUCAACGUCGCCACAGCCAAGGCUCAUCAAGGUUUCAAUACAUGAGGCCAAAACAUCUGCACCCCCAAAUUCAAUUGAUGCAAGCAAGAAAACCAUGAUGAUCAUGCAGAUGGCUAUUGCUUUCCUGGGAGCCAUUUCUCUUAUUUGUGGAAAGGCCAAUGGAUUCAGAAAGGAGUUACGAGCCUAUAAAUCUUAAUUUUAUUCGUGGUAAGUGCAAGUUAGAAGUAUGAGAUUGUAUGAGGUUUUUAGUACAUUUUUUGGAUUAGAUGAGUUCUAGAUAACGAUGUUGCUGAAAAUUUUCUU